rnacentral:rRNA from 1 species
AACCAGCCAAGUUGCGUGAAGGACGACGGUUCUAUGGAUUGUAAACUUCUUUUGUAGAGGAAUAACGGCAGCUACGUGUAGCUGAGAUGCAUGUACUCUACGAAUAAGUAUCGGCUAACUCCGUGCCAGCAGCCGCCGGUAAUACGGGGGAUACGAGCGUUAUCCGGAAUUAUUGGGUUUAAAGGGUGCGUAGGUGGCGUAUUAAGUCAGUGGUGAAAAGCUGCAGCUCAACUGUAGUCUUGCCGUUGAAACUGAUAUGCUAGAGAGGAGACGAGGUAUGCGGAAUGUGUGGUGUAGCGGUGAAAUGCAUAGAUAUCACACAGAACGCCGAUUGCGAAGGCAGCGUACCAGGCUCCGUCUGACACUGAAGCACGAAAGCGUGGGGAUCAAACAGGAUUAGAUACCCUGGUAGUCCACGCAGUAAACGAUGAAUACUAGAUUUUUGCGAUAUAGUGUAAGAGUCUAAGCGAAAGCGAUAAGUAUUCCCACCUGGGGAGUACGCCGGCAACGGUGAAACUCAAAGGAAUUGACGGGGGCCCGCAC